CUGCUCAGGACGACNCUGNCGNCGUCCUAACACAUGCAAGUCGAGCGAUGAACCCNUUCGGGGUGGAUUAGCGGCGGACGGGUGAGUAACACGUGGGUAACCUGCCUUAUAGAGGGGGAUAGCCUUCCGAAAGGAAGAUUAAUACCGCAUAACAUGUUUNUAUCGCAUGGUAGANACAUCAAAGGAGNAAUCCGCUAUAAGAUGGACCCGCGGCGCAUUAGCUAGUUGGUGAGGUAAGGGCUCACCAAGGCGACGAUGCGUAGCCGACCUGAGAGGGUGAUCGGCCACAUUGGAACUGAGACACGGUCCAGACUCCUACGGGAGGCAGCAGUGGGGAAUAUUGCGCAAUGGGGGAAACCCUGACGCANCAACGCCGCGUGAAUGAAGAAGGCCUUAGGGUUGUAAAGUUCUGUUUUCUGGGACGAUAAUGACGGUACCAGAGGAUG
rnacentral:rRNA from 1 species